rnacentral:sRNA from 1 species
CAUAUAUUCAUGAUAAAGGAAGAAAGAAUAGUGAAAAUAGACUUAUUUUAACUGCUUUGGCAGUCAAGAGUCAAGAAUUAACUCAGAGGAAACCGGCUUUCUAUAUAUCUAGACAAUAUUUGCAUUUUCUAUAUUGAUAUUUAGAAUUAUAGAUCUGUAGUAGUCUGUAUGAUGUGGAUUAAUUAGUAUUGAUUCAUUGUCUCUACUAUCAGUGAAUGCCGUAGAGUUCAACAUGACAUGGUCAGGCUAACGAGGAUCGUGAACGAGAAAGUGGUGAAGGACGUUAGAGCAUUAUUUUUCGGGAUUGAGCUAAUUACGCACCCGGCAUGCUCAUCUAGUUAUGGGAGCGCUUGAAGUAUAGC